UAUACUUCAUGCAAGCCAUAAUUAUUAACUUAUGAUAAAAUCUUAAUAAGUAAUUAAACCAACACUAAACUCAAAAAAAGAGCA
rnacentral:rRNA from 1 species